rnacentral:rRNA from 1 species
ACCCGCUGAAUUUAAGCAUAUCAGUAAGCGGAGGAUGAGAAACUAAAAAGGAUUUCCCCAGUAAUGGCGAAUGAACCGGGAUCAGCUCAACCUGGAAAUUGCGGCCCUCGUGGCCUUGAAUUGUAAUCCCGAGAUGCGCUGCCAACAGAGGUGUGGAUGUAAGCCUUUUGGAAGAGAGGAGUGCCCACGAGGGUGAGAGCCCCGUCUGUCGUUCGCAGCCCCCUGAGCACGGCGCGCCCUCCAAGAGUCGCGUUUCUCGAAAUCGGAGCGUAAAGCGGGUGGUAAGCCUCAUUUCAAGCUAAAUAUUGUCUYGAGACCGAUAGGAAAAAAGUACCAUGAGGGAAAGGUGAAAAGAACUUUGAAAAGAGAGUUAAAAGUGUCUGAACUUGCUGAAAGGGAAGCGAAUGGAACCAGUGCUGCAUGGCGAGAUUGUCGCGCGCCGCGGCAUUCCCAGAGGCGCGCGGUGCUUCUUGCCUUGUGCGUCCACAUCAGCUCGUGGCCGAGGAAACCUCUAGGGACAUGGCAGUUCGCCGCUCGCGGCCAAAUGUGCCUGGCAGAACUCGUUCAUGAGCUGCAGCUCGGGUGUCUGAUUGCAGCGCUCCCCACCCGGGCGCUCCCCUGACAUUUGGAGGGCGAUGAAACGGUUCCAUUCGACCCGUCUUGAAACACGGACCAAGGAGUCUAAUGCGUGCGCGAGUCCACGGGUGAUGAAAACCUGCUUGCGAAGUGAAAGCAACUGCUGGGAUGUCUGCACCAGCAACCGACCAAUCAAUCAAGAGAGGUUUGAGUGCGAGCGCACCUGUUAGGACCCGAAAGAUGGUGAACUAUGCCUGAGAAGGGCAAGCUCAGGGGAAACUCUGAUGGAGGCUCGUAGCGAUACUGACGUGCAAAUCGUUCGUCGCACUUGGGUAUAG